AGAGUUUGAUCAUGGCUCAGGACGAACGCUGGCGGCGUGCUUCAUACAUGCAAGUCGAACGGGGUCCAACUGGUAGCAAUACCAGGGAAGACCUAGUGGCGAACGGGUGCGUAACACGUGAGCAACCUGCCCCGGAGACCGGGAUAACAGCGGGAAACCGCUGCUAAUACCGGAUGCCCUCGCAGUCUCGCAUGGGACAGUGAGGAAAUGGGUUUCCGCUUCGGGAGGGGCUCGCGGCCUAUCAGCUUGUUGGUGGGGUAACGGCCUACCAAGGCGCCGACGGGUAGCUGGUCUGAGAGGACGAUCAGCCACACUGGGACUGAGACACGGCCCAGACUCCUACGGGAGGCAGCAGUAGGGAAUCUUGCGCAAUGGGCGAAAGCCUGACGCAGCAACGCCGCGUGGGGGAUGAAGGCCUUCGGGUUGUAAACUCCUUUCAGUGGGAACGAAAAUGACGGUACCCACAGAAGAAGCCCCGGCCAACUACGUGCCAGCAGCCGCGGUGAUACGUAGGGGGCGAGCGUUGUCCGGAUUCAUUGGGCGUAAAGAGCUCGUAGGCGGCUUGGUAAGUCGGGUGUGAAACCUCCAGGCUCAACCUGGAGACGCCACUCGAUACUGCCAUGGCUUGAGUCCGGUAGGGGACCAUGGAAUUCCUGGUGUAGCGGUGAAAUGCGCAGAUAUCAGGAGGAACACCAGUGGCGAAGGCGGUGGUCUGGGCCGGUACUGACGCUGAGGAGCGAAAGCGUGGGGAGCGAACAGGAUUAGAUACCCCCGUAGUCC
rnacentral:rRNA from 1 species